rnacentral:pre_miRNA from 1 species
AGAGGAUACCCUUGUAUGUUCACUCCAUUCAUGACGAAUAUACAGGGGGAGACUCUUAU